CCCAGAAAACUCGAGAGGGAGAGAGAGCUCGGUGCUCUCUGACCCGACGCGACCCAGAAACCCCUUCAGGAUCCAACCGGCGCUACUUCGUCCGGCCACCGAUCGACGACGGAUGACCACCAUCUUCUUCGCCUCUUCGUCGCCUACAUCCUCAUGCUCUUGGAUCGUCCAUGCACUGAACGGAGAAGAAAACCCGACGACGAGAAGCCCGAACCUUUACCGGCAACCUCUGCAAUUUCCGGCGCCUCCGGCCACCGUUUGGACCGCCUGUGCUUUUCCGGCAUGGCUGGGCUUUGUUUCCCGCUCGACUGCACUCAUAGACCAAAAAUCAUAAAGGCUGCUGGGCUGUGGACAUCAAACUCUAUCAGUUCACCCUCAAACCAGUUUCGGCUGUGUUUUGGGAAACUGAGUAUGGCUGGAAUCGUUUUCGAAGAAUCUAGGAUUUCCAGUUACCCGAGGAACGGAAGGUUCGUGAAUCUCGAACAACGUAAAAGGUUAAAGCAUCGGAAUCCAGUGUGGUUGUAGGUACUGUGCACUGGAAGCGGGAUUGGAGCGGAUGGAGCUGGGUGUGCAUAUUUCAAUAGAAGUCAGGUUCUGGGUUCCAAUCUUAUUCCUGUUCCUUAAAAUUGUAUUUUCGGAACUUGUCCCAAUUUGUUUGUUAUAUGCUAAAUCCUUUAUUCCUCGGUUGUUUGCAAUGUUAAGUCCUGGACGAACAUUUGAAUUUAAAGUUUUAGAAAGGCUGUCACCUCAAAAGAAUUUAAAAGCUU